AUCAAAAAAGUAAAGACUUUUUCAUUAAUGUUUCCAGGAAGGAGUGGAGCAUGGUGGUGAAGAGCACAGAUGCUAGGGACAAACAUGAGGGUCUGAGCUCCCACAGCACUGGGUAGCUUUGACACUGAUAAGUCAGUGAAAUCUUCUGCAUCCCUGUCUC